GCUGUUUCUCUUCAUCGGUCAGCCACUGGAUAAAGGAGAACGUGAAGGGCAACAGGCAGAAGAGAACAGCAAAAGACAAAACGUCAGUAGCACAACUGGACAGCGAUGUGGAGCAUGAAGGCAGAGUUCCCUCAUAUGUUGAAGACUGCACCUGAUGAUGACAAAGACUGGAAAGAGAAGAGCAGGCAAGACAAAUGAGGGGAGAUAAUGAGUGGCAUAGAUGUGGUUAUUUCUGCAGGAUAAAUUACGUGAUUUGCUGGGGAGGAAGCAAAGGGAUAAUUCCCAGGACUAAACCACAGAUCUCCAGUUUAGUGACCUGUCUCCUGGAAUACCCAGGACCAGGGUGAGCAAUGACCAGAAACUAUUGCAGAGGUGGUCUCUAGGUGUUGGGAGAAAUGGUUCAGAGAAGCUGGAGAUGCCGGGUACUCUGUAAUACCCCUCCAUUUCUGAUCAUCAGAUUACAUAAGAAAAACUGGCAACUGGCAGAUAAUUAAACCAGAAUAUUCUCCUAGAGUCCUGACAAUCAUUCGGGAGUAACUUACUUCAGCA